rnacentral:rRNA from 1 species
UACAUGUGGGGCAAGCGUUGUUCGGAAUUACUGGGCAUAAAGGGUGCGUAGGUGGCUUGUUAAGUCAGGGGUGAAAGUUUUCGGCCCAACCGGAAAAUGGCCUCUGAUACUAGCGAGCUUGAGUGCGUGAGGGGUGACUGGAACGAGUGGUGUAGCGGUGAAAUGCGUAGAUAUGCGGAGGAACACCGAUGGCGAAGGCAAUCCCCUGGGCCUGUACUGACGCUCAUGCACGAAAGCGUGGGGAGCAAACAGG